rnacentral:rRNA from 1 species
UACGUAGGUGGCAAGCGUUGUCCGGAAUUAUUGGGCGUAAAGCGCACGUAGGCGGACUAUUAAGUCAGGGGUGAAAUCCCGGGGCUCAACCCCGGAACUGCCUUUGAUACUGGUAGUCUCGAGUCCGGAAGAGGUGAGUGGAAUUCCGAGUGUAGAGGUGAAAUUCGUAGAUAUUCGGAGGAACACCAGUGGCGAAGGCGGCUCACUGGUCCGGUACUGACGCUGAGGUGCGAAAGCGUGGGGAGCAAACAGG